rnacentral:rRNA from 1 species
AUUGAACGCUGGCGGCAGGCUUAACACAUGCAAGUCGAGCGAGCGGCGGACGGGUGAGUAAUGUCUGGGAAACUGCCUGAUGGAGGGGGAUAACUACUGGAAACGGUAGCUAAUACCGCAUACCAUCAGAUGUUCCCAGAGGGGAUUAGCUAGUAGGGGGGGGAAUGGCUCACGUAGGCGACGAGCCCUAGCUGGUCUGAGAGGAUGACCAGCCAUACUGGAACUGAGACACGGUCCAGAGUCCUACGGGAGGCAGCAGUGGGGAAGAUUGCACCAGGGGCGCAAGCCUGAUGCAGCCAUGCCGCGUGUGUGAAGAAGGCCUUCGGGUUGUAAAGCACUUUCAGCGAGGAGGCGUUACUCGCAGAAGAAGCACCGGCUAACUCCGUGCCAGCAGCCGCGGUAAUUC